CAACAGGGGAACCUCUGAAAAAAGGAGUCAUUGCUGUUUUGUGCUUUGGAUCAGUAUCUGGAUCCACUGUCCCUGACUCGAGUCAACACUCAGUGUCUCUAAACUCUCUUUGCUUCCUCAUUUUAUCGUCCACUCUCCAACCACUUGUCUUAAUCCACUUAAUUUCCUCCUUGGAGUCCCUCAAGUCCCAAACCUUGCCAUGCUCAGCCUGGUCCAAAGCGGAAGCAGCAGAACCCCCUGCCCCGCUUUGCCUCUGUGCCUUCUCAGGGCCGUGCACAGAGGGUGGGAAGAGGCAGCAGUCAGCAGAGCAGAGGUGGGGCGAGCAGGAAUGCGGGGUGAGACCAAAGAGAUCCUCAGGGAAAUUGCUGCAGCUGCAUUGUUCUGCUUCCUGUGACUCAAAGUGCAACGCCAGUGUGCCCAGGGGGCCGGUGCUGUGAGGUACGAGUGUCACACCGAGUGUGGGCACAACACUAAUGGAAAAUGCUGCUUUAAACUCUUAUCUUAAGCCUUCUGUUCAGCACCCUAGCUCAAAGCCUGCAUCCUUCCAGGUCUGUGAUGCUGUGCACCUGCCAGCUGCAGCGCUCCGAGUUGUCUUUGCAGAGCAGCACAAGCCUGUUGUGACACCUUGGUGCCUUUGGCUCCGCUCCCAUUCUCUAGAAUUGCACUUGGCCUUGCUUUGGCCCUCUGCCCAGCCUGAAUUCGCCUUCUUGGUUUUCACUUAUUUCCCAUAUCACUUUUCUCUCCUGCUUCUCCUCAGGGAUCUGGCUGCAAACCUUCGUGCCCAGGUGGGUGAGCAGCCGCUCCCUCCCAGGGUCCCUUCAAUUGUGAGAGAGAGACGUGGGACGUUUGCAGUUUUUCUUCCUCCUUCCAGCUGAACGUUAGACAGUUCUUCUCCUGAAUGUCUCUCUUCUCCCUUUUCCUGAAUCGGCCCCUCAGUUUUAUUUCUCUGUGAGCUGUCUGGUUGCUGGUAUUUUAAAAAUAAAUCAAGCAGACCCUGCAAAUGGCCCUGAGAAGGAAGCCUGGCUAGCCCCUGGGAUCAGACACGCACGGUACACACGUAUAGCUCUGGUUUGCCCACAUCGUUUGGAUAAGGUAUCAGAGAGCACAGACUGCCUUUGCACUGAAGCCUGCAGGUCAAGGAGUUGGCCUCCCUUCAGCCCAGGGGCCGUGUGGCUGCCAGCCCAUAAGCUAAAGCUUAUUUCUGGAACAUGCUGGAAACCCACCUCAGACAACAAUGCGUUUGAUUCCUCCUUUCCAGGCAUGUUCACUUUUGCUUCUUUCUUACGGGGAAGAUUUUGCUUCCAUCUCCCUUCUGCUCUUCUUCUCAAGCCAGCGCAACACAAGGAGAGCCAACCCCGGUCAUUCUUCAAGAGCUGAGUGGUGAGGAUGUCAUAGAAUCAUAUCAAAGAAUCAUAGAAUGGCCUGGGUUGAAAAGGACCACCGUAAUCAUCCCCCCAUGAUGGUGCACUGGGUGUAUGGGGCAGUGCGUACCCUGAUAGCAGCAAAACUGUUGUUUCACGUGCCAUAAACAGGAGCUCAUACAACAACUCUGUGUCAUGUAGCUCUCCCGGUGUUCUCACAGGGACUGGAGCUUGACUUAAAUGCUGUGAGAGCCUUCUGUGUGCCGGGCUGGUUGUGGCACUGGGGGGACCGAUCAGUUGGGCAGCAAGCAGCCCACGGCAGGAGGGAUGGAACUGCAUUCUCUCUAAGGGCCAUUCCAACCUGAGCCGCUCAGUGAUUGUGUCUCUUAUUCAGAACUGACGUGUGGUUUUGCUUCAUUUCUGAGGAUGGUUCAAAGUGCUCUCCUUCCCAGAUGGAGAUUCUGACAUGCCUUUAAUUCUAAUCUUCUCCUCUCCUCAUUUUUUUUUAAUCAGCCUUCACAGUUAAGCAUAUAAUUAGCCACUUGGAUAAAGUAGGUGUGUGGUGUCACAGAGUCACCAAGCUGAACCUAGGCCUUCUGAAGUCCGAAUCAACUCCAUCAUCAGAGCAGCCUUCCUGUAGGCACGCCAGCACUUGCAGCAUGGCCCAGAACCUCCUGCCUUUGAACUUCCCAGCUUUAGGCUGCUGCGUCAGCGUCUGUGUAUGAUGGAAGCAGUGAAGGGGGGAAACAGGUGUUGUCUCAGAGCAGAAGAGAACAGAGCAGGCAACAGUGAGUAAGAACACUUCUACCUUGAAAACAAACCCAGAGAACACCUCACUCCUUAGCUCACUCCAUCAAUAACAGAACAGUCUUGCUGCACUGCAGUGAACUGCUAAAAAGUUAUCGUCAGGAAGGACUGGAAGUACUUCUAGCUCUUUCCUUCCCAUAUACCUGCUUCAGAAGGACUAAACCUGUGGGGUGCCUGGAGUGAACUGAGUUGUCCUGCACUAACAUGGAUUGCUUUGCACUAGAGUAAGCCACUGAGGUCCCUGGUGAAGACCUUGCUGCACUUAGCAUGUUUUAGCUAAGUGUGAUGGAUUUGUGUUUAUGUGUCCGUGUGUGUUUAUAUACACAUACAUGGCUAUAAAAGUACAUGGGAUACUGAGUUGAAGUAGGACAGAACUGACAACGCCAGUAUAACCUACAGCCUCAUUUAGAUGUCUAUGGAGAAGCAGCCUUUCCUCCUGAAGUGAUUUUCCUCAUCACAUGUCUGUGGGAAGCUGAUGCUCUGUUCACACAUAUUCACUACGUAGGCCUAUUUGGUGAGUAUUUUCUAUUAACGGCCCUUGGUCUGCUCGUGGUGAGCACUUCGUCACCGGGCAGGUGGUGCACAUGAGCCCCACCAGCCUCCUGUGGCUGGAGAUGGAAGCCACAAGCCAUGCCCGUGUUCUCCACCUCCGGUCAGAUGGGAAUCCCUAAGAGGGUUCCUCCUCUCUGCUGUCAGGGGAGGACGUUCACAGUCACUAGUCUGAAAUUCAGAGAUGUGCUGACAUUUCCAGGCACUUACAAUAAUGCUCACUGCUGAACUCCUUUGCUGCUGCUGAAAACCAAACAGAACGUGCUCAGAGCAAACUCAUCUAGCAAAUUCAAGCAUGUCCUCCUAGAAUUCCUUUUGCAGCAGCUGUCCUGCUCUGCUUAUUUAUGCCUUGCGCUAGCAUCUGAAAUCAUUAAGGCCUCUGAUGAUAGCACAUCUCAAGACACAAUUAAAGGACAAAGACAAAUGUCAGCACCCCGGAGGUGCCACAUGGUUUUGCAGAGCGGCGGAUUUGGCAGUGCUGCAGGAGGAGCGCGGCACUGAAGUGUCAGAGUCACAGCUGAACACAAAGCCCAGUAUCAGUGCUGGAGACACCGAGGUGGUGUGGAUGCUAAGGGUGCUGCCAGCGUUGUGGUGUUCUCAAAACGUAUCUGUGGCUCAACCAAUCUGAAAUGAAUCUUCUCCUCUUAACCACGUGGCCUUACAGUGUUCCUUAGGAGAACGGCAGCCUUGUGGAUGCUCAUCCCUGGAGGUGUUCAAGGCCAGGUUGGAUGGGCCCUGGGCAGCCCGAUCUGGUGCCUGUGUAGUUUGUGGCAACACUGCCUGUGGCAUGGGGGCUGGAAAUGGAUGGUCUUUGGUGGUGAUGGGUUGGAAGUUGGACCUCCACGAUCACCUUGGAGGUCUUUUCCAGCCUUAAUGACUGUAUGAUUCUAUGAAUACAUCCCUUCUGGAGGUCCCUCUCACAUCUCAAGGAUGAUGUUUUGAUGGAAUGGGAAGCAAACGUAGGCUAAAAGCUAUGAUUAUUUCUAGAACGUGCAUGAGAAUAUGGAUAUUCCUCUUGUAACAGUGAUCAAGAAAACCAAUCAGUGUAUAAAUGAUUUUACAACACGUGGCUUCGGUCGUAGAAAUCUAGCAUUGUAGGAGUUGAAAGGGGCCCCUAAAGGUCAUCACGUUCAAUUCCUCUGCAGUGCACAGGGACACCCACAGCUCCAUCAGUGCUCAGAGCCCCGUCCCGUCUGCCCUCGGGGUCUGCAGGGAUGGGGCACCACUGCCUCUCCAGGCAACCUGUGCUGGAGGUGUUUGUAGCACAGGUCGGGAGCCUUUCCAUAGCGUACCAUGAAGAUGGCUUUAGCUGUAUUUUAAAACUGCACUGGUGGGACAGGCCAGCUCUGAAGCACUCGCAAUCACAAUAAUGUCAGGGUGGCAGUAAGAGCUGUUCCCUUCACCACUGGAGCAGCUGUGCUUGUUUCCAUCGGCUGCACUCGGGCUCUUCAGUGAGGAGCUGCUUUGGAAAAUGUAAUCCCUCAGAGCUGUUUGUUCAGUGCCUUCGCUUUAAUGGACCCGCUUAGGCAGCUGAAAGGAAGGGGUAGGAGGGAAUCGAUCUUAGCACACUUAUGGGCAUCCCCUCCUGUAAUUGAUGUCAUUACAACUUCUCUGACAUGUGACUUUAUUUACUUAUUUACGGCUCCAGGCUUGCUUCUGCCCAAGCACAGAUCUGGUGAGACAAGGGGUUGGGUUUUUUUGGGUUUUGAUUUUUUCUUUCUUUUCCCAAGGCGGGUUGUUUGCAAACUCUGGAGCCCAAAAGGUGCAGCUGCUCUAAAAAUAACACAGGAUACAAGAACUGCUUUGGGGAGGUCCCUCUCUGCCCCAGUCCAAAGGCACCUCCCAGAGUGCUGCUGUGAGUGGGGAAGUUUGUCUUGUAAGCAGAGCUGCCCGAAUUUCUAGGGGUGCUGAAUACUGGAUAUUAGAAAACAUUUCUUCUCCCAAAGAGCAGUGCUGCGUUGGCACAGCUGC
ensembl:lncRNA